GACGAAGGGGGCUAGCGUUGUUCGGAAUUACUGGGCGUAAAGCGCGUGUAGGCGGUUGCCCAAGUCGGGUGUGAAAGCCUUGAGCUCAACUCAAGAAAUGCACUCGGUACUGGGUGACUAGAGGACCGGAGAGGAUAGUGGAAUUCCCAGUGUAGUGGUGAAAUACGUAGAGAUUGGGAAGAACACCAGUGGCGAAGGCGGCUUCCUGGACCAAUACUGACGAUCAGGUGCGAAAGCGUGGGGAGCAAACAGG
rnacentral:rRNA from 1 species